rnacentral:rRNA from 1 species
GGCAGACGGGUGAGUAAUACAUAGGAAUCUACCUCUUGGUGGGGAAUAUCUCGCCGAAAGGCGGGGUAAUACCGCAUGAAAUCUUCGGAUCAAAGACCUUAACCGGUCGCCGAGAGAAGAGCCUGUGUCCCAUCACCUAGUUGGUAAGGUAAUGGCUUACCAAGGCUACCACGGGUAGGGGAUGUGAGAACAUGAUCCCCCACCAGGACACUGAGAUACGGGUCCUACACCUACGGGUGGCAGCAACUGGGAAUCUUGCGCAAUGGACGAAAGUCUGACGCAGCGACGCCGCGUGUGGGAAGAAGCCUUCGGGUCGUAAACCACUGUGGAAGGGGAAUAACAAAUGAAGGUACCCCUCUAAAAAGCACCUGCUAACUACGUGCCAGAAGCCUCGGUAAUACGUAAGGGUGCAAGCGUUAUCCGGAUUUACUGGGGCGUUAAACCUUCUUGUUAGGCCGUUUUGUUAAUUAUGUGGUUAAAAGGCUUCGGCUCCACCGAAAGAAAUGCUGUUUUAUCUACCAGACUAAAUUAAUUGUCCGGAAUUACGGAAUUCUCCGUUGGAAGGGUGAAAUCCCGUUGAUAUCCAAAAAGAACCCCAAGGCGAA